rnacentral:rRNA from 1 species
GUGAACGCUGGCGGUAGGCCUAACACAUGCAAGUCGAACGGCAGCACAGUAAGAGCUUGCUCUUACGGGUGGCGAGUGGCGGACGGGUGAGGAAUACAUCGGAAUCUACCUUUUCGUGGGGGAUGACGUAGGGAAACUUACGCUAAUACCGCAUACGACCUACGGGUGAAAGCAGGGGAUCUUCGGACCUUGCGCGAUUGAAUGAGCCGAUGUCGGAUUAGCUAGUUGGCGGGGUAAAGGCCCACCAAGGCGACGAUCCGUAGCUGGUCUGAGAGGAUGAUCAGCCACACUGGAACUGAGACACGGUCCAGACUCCUACGGGAGGCAGCAGUGGGGAAUAUUGGACAAAGGGCGCAAGCCUGAUCCAGCCAUACCGCGUGGGUGAAGAAGGCCUUCGGGUUGUAAAGCCCUUUUGUUGGGAAAGAAAAGCAGCAGGUUAAUACCCCGCUGUUCUGACGGUACCCAAAGAAUAAGCACCGGCUAACUUCGUG